UACGUAGGGGGCAAGCGUUGUCCGGAAUUAUUGGGCGUAGAGAGCGUGUAGGCGGUCCGGUAAGUCAGCUGUGAAAGUCAAGGGCUCAACCCUUGAAUGCCGGUUGAUACUGUCGGGCUAGAGUCCGGAAGAGGCGAGUGGAAUUCCUGGUGUAGCGGUGGAAUGCGCAGAUAUCAGGAGGAACACCGAUGGCGAAGGCAGGUCACUGGGCCGCAACUGACGCUGAGGAGCGAAAGCAUGGGGAGCGAACAGG
rnacentral:rRNA from 1 species